GGUAAAAUGGCUGAAAUUAGGCGGUAGAUUGUAAAUCUUCUUAUGAUAUUAUUAUCUUUUAUCA
rnacentral:tRNA from 1 species